CUCUCCUAGAAGCCUCAAGCAAUGGCCUGGAUGAAAAGGUUAAGAAGCACAAAGGUGAGCAAAACCAUCUCAGCGGGAUCCAUCUAAAGGUGGGAGUAUG